AGUGAAAGGCUGACUCAUUGCAACAGGCCUGGGCUGGCUGGGACUUGAGCCGGUGGCUUGGAACAUGCUUGGACAGUGAGCGCCUUGUCUGAAAGGCAGACCGUGAGAAGCCACGGGUCAGGGGAGCCGAGGCCACUGCCCUGAGAAACACCCCUCACACAGCCACGUGAGCCCCAGGGGAAGCAGGGGCCAGGUGGGUGUCCAUGCUGCCUCCCACUCAGACUCUGGAGAGCUAGCGUCACCUUGCUGGAUAAGGUCUAGAGAGGCUCUAAGCCCCAGGGCAAUUAAGCCCUAAGGUCCUGAGACAUGAGCAUUUUGAUCCUUCCUCC
rnacentral:lncRNA from 1 species